rnacentral:rRNA from 1 species
GGGUUAAGUCCCGCAACGAGCCGCAACCCCUGUCCUAUGUUGCCAGCAUUUAGUUGGGGACUCAUGGGAGACUGCCGGCGUCAAGCCGGAGGAAGGUGGGGAUGACGUCAAGUCCUCAUGGCCCUUAUAGGUGGGGCUACACACGUCAUACAAUGGAUGGUACAAAGGGUCGCCAACCCGCGAGGGGGAGCCAAUCCCAUAAAGCCAUUCGUAGUCCGGAUCGCAGUCUGCAACUCGACUGCGUGAAGUCGGAAUCGCUAGUAAUCGUGGAUCAGAAUGUCACGGUGAAUACGUUCCCGGGUCUU